UGCUGGGUAGGGGAGCGUUCUGUAAGCCGUUGAAGGUGUGUUGAGAAGCAUGCUGGAGGUAUCAGAAGUGCGAAUGCUGACAUGAGUAACGAUAAUGCGGGUGAAAAACCCGCACGCCGGAAGACCAAGGUUUCCUAUCCCAUGCUAAUCAGGGUAGGGUAAGUCGGCCCCUAAGGCGAGGCCGAGAGGCGUAGUCGAUGGGAAUCAGGUUAAUAUUCCUGAACCGACAUGUACUGCGAUGGGGGGACGGAGAAGGCUAGGCAAGCCGGGUGUUGGUUAUCCCGGUGAAAGUAUGUAGGUUGAGAGUUUAGGCAAAUCCGGACUCUUAAGACUGAGAUACGAGACGAGCACCCACGGGUGCGAAGUUGUUGAUGCCCUGCUUCCAGGAAAAGCCUCUAAGCUUCAGGUACAUGUUGACCGUACCCGAAACCGACACAGGUGGUCAGGUAGAGAAUACUAAGGCGCUUGAGAGAACUCGGGUGAAGGAACUAGGCAAAAUAGUACCGUAACUUCGGGAGAAGGUACGCCAGAGCUAGUGAAGUCCACACGGACGGAGCUGGAGCUGGCCGCAGUGACCAGGUGGCUGGGACUGUUUAUUAAAAACACAGCACUCUGCAAAAUCGAAAGAUGACGUAUAGGGUGUGACACCUGCCCGGUGCCGGAAGGUUAAUUGAUGGGGUUAGCGUAAGCGAAGCUCUUGAUCGAAGCCCCGGUAAACGGCGGCCGUAACUAUAACGGUCCUAAGGUAGCGAAAUUCCUUGUCGGGUAAGUUCCGACCUGCACGAAUGGUGUAACCAUGGCCACGCUGUCUCCACCCGAGACUCAGUGAAAUUGAAAUCGCCGUGAAGAUGCGGUGUACCCGCGGCUAGACGGAAAGACCCCGUGAACCUUUACUACAGCUUGGCACUGAACAUUGAACCUCCAUGUGUAGGAUAGGUGGGAGGCUAUGAAGCGUUGGCGCUAGUUGACGUGGAGCCAUCCUUGAAAUACCACCCUUGUAUGUUUGAUGUUCUAACUUAGCCCC
rnacentral:rRNA from 2 species